rnacentral:rRNA from 1 species
GUAACGAGCGCAACCCUUGUCCUUAGUUACCAGCACGUUAUGUGGGCACUCUAAGGAGACUGCCGGUGACAACCGGAGGAAGUGGGGAUGACGUCAAGUCAUCAUGGCCCUUACGGCCUGGGCUACACACGUGCUACAAUAGUCGGUACAAAGGGUUGCCAAGCCGCGAGGUGGAGCUAAUCCCAUAAAACCGAUCGUAGUCCGGAUCGCAGUCUGCAACUCGACUGCGUGAAGUCGGAAUCGCUAGUAAUCGUGAAUCAGAAUGUCACGGUGAAUACGUUCCCGGGCCUU